UACUACUUGGAUACCCGUGGUAAUUCUAGAGCUAAUACAUGCAAAAAACCCCGACUUCUGAAGGGGUGUAUUUAUUAGAUAAAAAACCAAUGCCCUUCGGGGCUCUUUGGUGAUUCAUGAUAACUUAACGGAUCGCAUGGCCUUGCGCCGGCGACGGUUCAUUCAAAUUUCUGCCCUAUCAACUUUCGAUGGUAAGGUAUUGGCUUACCAUGGUUUCAACGGGUAACGGAUUUUUAGGGAAAGAUCCCGGAGAGGGAGCCUGAGAAACGGCUACCACAUCCAAGGAAGGCAGCAGGCGCGCAAAUUACCCAAUCCUGAUACAGGGAGGUAGUGACAAUAAAUACUGAUACAGGGCUCUUUUGGGUCUUGUAAUCGGAAUGAGUACAAUUUAAAUACCUUAACGAGGAACAAUUGGAGGGCAAGUCUGGUGGACAUUCAGCUCCCAUUCUGCUGACGCCAGAGAUAGUCAGGCGCACCUGCCUCCGGGCGGGCUGUGUUAUGCUGACUAGUCGAGUACCCGCUAAACUGAUGGGGGGGUGCCGGCGAGACAACCUGGAUCGGGGAAGGCUAAGGCGCACUGUGCUAUGCUAAUCCCGAGCA
rnacentral:rRNA from 1 species